UACGGAGGGUGCGAGCGUUAUCCGGAUUCACUGGGUUUAAAGGGUGCGUAGGUGGGCAGGUAAGUCAGUGGUGAAGUCUCCGGGCUUAACCCGGAAACUGCCAUUGAUACUAUCAGUCUUGAAUACCGUGGAGGUAAGCGGAAUAUGUCAUGGUAGCGGUGAAAUGCUUAGAUAUGACAUAGAACACCAAUUGCGAAGGCAGCUUACUACCCGAAUAUUGACACUGAGGCACGAAAGCGUGGGGAUCAAACAGG
rnacentral:rRNA from 1 species